UUAAAUUGAAGAGUUUGAUCAUGGCUCAGAUUGAACGCUGGCGGCAGGCCUAACACAUGCAAGUCGAACGGUAGCACAGAGAGCUUGCUCUCGGGUGACGAG
rnacentral:rRNA from 2 species